GGAGAGUUGGCAGAGCGGUAAUGCAGCGGAUUGCUAAUCCGUCAUGGUGUAACAACCAUGCACGUGUUCAAAUCACGUACUCUCCGCAA
rnacentral:tRNA from 1 species